AAUAUACGAAUCACGAAGUUAUAUAAUUUAAAAAAAAAACAUACAAAAUACUAAAUCACGCUCACGCGCUCUGCUCUGCAGCGAACCAUAUAUCCUCAGCAGAAUAAACGAACGCUUUAAGCGUCAAAGCCUUUCUAUACGGCGAGUGCAUCUGUAUACACCAGUAAAAUUAAGACACACAGAUGAAGCGGUGGACGGCGACUGUGGCGUCUGCCUGACUGAAUCCUCCAUGGUUAGCUUCGACGGCCAAAUUCCGGCGCUCGCAGUACACGUAGAAACAAUUCACGCAGUCUGAUUCUUCAGUUCGAGUAAAGUGAAUCAAAGCUUUUUACGCCUUGGAUUAGGCUUGGGUACUUCUGGAGCCCCUUCAGCGCCAUAGCAGUCAAGAGCUAUUACAAUCAACCUUCGUCGCCUCCUCAACAUGGGAUACUUGCUCAUGCCAGUCUCAUUCUUUCCACCUUCAGCAUCUUUUGGGCCAGCCUCUGGUUUCUUGAUCUUCCUCAUUACCUGGUUUACUUGAGCUUGUAUCUCCGGGUCACCUGCAGCUGCUGCUGAAUAGUCGAGUGAUUCAUUUAAUGAAGAUUUAUCGCCAUCAAUUGAGAGCCUAAGAGACAUAUCUUGCACAUCCUUCAGGGAAUCAUUGAGAGAUGACU